GACGAACGCUGGCGGCGUGCUUAACACAUGCAAGUCGAACGGAAAGGCCCUGCUUUUGUGGGGUGCUCGAGUGGCGAACGGGUGAGUAACACGUGAGUAACCUGCCCUUGACUUUGGGAUAACUUCAGGAAACUGGGGCUAAUACCGGAUAGGAGCUCCUGCUGCAUGGUGGGGGUUGGAAAGUUUCGGCGGUUGGGGAUGGACUCGCGGGUUAUGAGCUUGUUGGUGGGGUAGUGGCUUACCAAGGCUUUGACGGGUAGCCGGCCUGAGAGGGUGACCGGGCACAUUAGGACUAAGGUACGGCCCAGACGCCUACGGGAGGCAGCGGGGGGGAAUAUUGCACAAUGGGCGGGAGCCUGAGGCAGCAACGCCGCGUGCGGGAUGACGUCCUUCGGGUUAUAAACCGCUUUCGCCUGUGACGAAGCGUGAGUGACGGUAAUGGAUAAAGAAGCACCGGCUAACUACGUG
rnacentral:rRNA from 1 species